GAUUCAAGUUCAAAGCAAGGCUAAUCAAGAUGAUCUGGAAAUCAACUGAAAAACAACAAUCGGAGGGAAAAUUUGAAGACAGCAAUUGGUGGAUGAAAUGAAGAGAAAAAACCCUGAUGCUGUCUUUAUUAAUCAGAAGAUGGACAUGACUCUGUCCUUGAGGAGAAAGGAUGUUGUGAUCAACAAGCCUCCUGUUAGCCAAAUACUUCAACGUUGGCCAGACUUUUUAGAGAAAGUCAGGUGUAUCAAGAAUUCAACCGGGUGGUUGGGAAGAACCUUAAGCAAGAAUUUUAUGGGUCUCUUGAUUGUCACUAUCCUCAACUGAUUCAGAUCUUCAGGUCAAAGAGAGAUCUCGCCGGGCAGAUUUUGAGCGAUCUUCUGCAACAAGCCAAGACCUCUGAUCUCGUUGACAUGCGAUGUGUUGCCAUGAGAGGGCUUCCAGUACUUCUUGGUGAUGACCCAACUGAGUUCUUCAAAGCAUGCUUUGCUUCUGAUGAUGGAGACUCGUACCAACAUGUGCCAGUUGGAAUCCUCAGCUUAGAAAAUUAAGAUGUGGCUCUGCAACCCCUGUCCAUCCAUCUCCACCCAUCCUCGGUGGGAAUCAUCUUGGAGGGGAAUGUUGUAAUGGACAAUUUAGACAACAUACCCCAGGCCAUGUGUCUUCUUUUUGGUUUAACUUACGCACUGCACCUAGACUACCCAAAGUGCAUGGGCAACACCUUUCUUUUCAUUCAGCAAGUUUUGCUAGGUUUAGGAAAGAAGGAGUUGAAGGGCAAGACUCUGGCUGUUACAAAUCAGCUUACCAUGUAAACAGGUAAAUGCAUUUUUCUUCUGGUUCUCUUUUCAGAAUCAGUUGAGGUUUGGAGACAGCCUCAUGGCUCAGAAGGUAAUUCGGGCAGGGCAGGCUUUCUGACACAGUACUCAAAGAUAUUGAUUUUCCCUUUUCUCUUGUAGUCGUUCAUGGUCAUUUCCUAAAUGAGGAUUAAGGCAGCAGUGUUUGAAGUCACAGGCAGAAGUCCUGUAAGAUUUCUGUCUGCCUGAGUGAGCCUUUGAAUUGAUCAGAAUUUCUGAUGGUCUGAGAAAUAAUUCCAUUUCAAUCCAGAAGAGAGCCGUUAAUAAUAGGUUUACCCUAUACUUUUCAACAUUCAUGAGUUUAUCGGGAAUUAGUGUAGUUCUGUGAUCCCAACAUUUCUGCCACAGUGCUCUUGACUCGUUACACUGGUACUAAUCUCUUCUUCACAACAACUACAUAGUAAAAUAUGAGUUAAUAUGAGCACAUUUCAGGUGGAUGCCCCUGAUUUGUCAUAGGAGAGUCCCCCUAUGUAAAGCGAUUUGAGUGCCUGGAAAAACGUACAUUUUAGGCUUAAAGGUUCAGGAGCCUUACUUUUUGAGCUAUAGGGGUACCCAAGACAAAAAAGGUUGAAAAAGCAGGUAAUUCCUUUUGAAGCUUUUUUUGGCCCUCUUUCUCAAACACUCUCUCUUUCUCUGUGUUUUUCUCAAUCUCUCUUUGUCUCCGGUGACUGAUAUUGAUUUUCAAUGUUGCUACAAGACCAGAACCGCCUGCAGCAAUUAGCUCCAUGAACUAGGAUAAAUUAAAUGUAAAGUGCUUUGAAAAGAACAACCACUGAACUCUCACAUCGGCCACAAAUCAAACUGGGGAAAAGUUCACACAUUGCUAUUCACACAGAUUGUAUUUCAAGAAGUGAAAAUGAGAAGACUCACUGGCUGUAUAAUGAAUAAAUCUAGACAAAAAUGAUAAAAUACAACUGGCUGCAAAUAAUAUAUUUACCACUUGUUUAGUCAAACAGGAGUCAGUAGCCGUGCGACUUCAGACAGGUGUUACAGUAUAUUAGAAUAAUGGGUUGCAUACACUGCAUGCAAUAUGCUAAUUUGUUAGAAUUUCUUCUGUUCUGAAAUUGAAUUUAUUGAACCUUGUGAACUUUAAACCAACUCAUUCUGUGCGGCAGUUAUUUCAGUCAGUCUUGAGAGAUCUGUGUGGCUGCCUUUUUAGUAUGCUGAGCUUGUGCUUGCUAUUGAUUCCUUCACAUCAAUACACACUGAACAAUUAUAUAAAAAAUAUAGUUUGAAGCGCAGGGGGUGAAAGCUCAUUUUUGGCCUUCAUAUAUGCAUUUGCUAAAAUGACACAAAUAGUUGA